rnacentral:tRNA from 1 species
CCAGAGGUACUCAAGUGGCCAACGAGGGCAGUCUGUAAAACUGCUGGCUUACGCCUACGGAGGUUCGAAUCCUCCCCUCUGGACAA